GUAAGCCCAUUUAUUGGCAUUCCGUUUCCAAGUGUGUUUGCUCUGACGUCUCAGCGUCCCAUUUUAGCGUUUUGUUUCGGCGUGCGUUAGCCGAGCUACAAGUGCUCUGACUCUUACUCUGGUUAGAGAAGAUACGUAUGCAUAUGAUGCGAUGUCCUAGCGAGCACGUUUCCCGUUCCCCCGAACUACGUCGACUCUGAUGUUUGUGUCUGACAAACUACGUAGGCCCACGAUGCGACAUCCUGCCGAGUUCGCUUUCU
rnacentral:lncRNA from 1 species